rnacentral:rRNA from 1 species
CCUACGGGGGGCAGCAGUGAGGAAUAUUGGUCAAUGGUCGGGAGACUGAACCAGCCAAGCCGCGUGAGGGAGGAAGGUACAGAGUAUCGUAAACCUCUUUUGUCAGGGAACAAAGGCGGGGACGUGUCCCCGGAUGAGUGUACCUGAAGAAAAAGCAUCGGCUAACUCCGUGCCAGCAGCCGCGGUAAUACGGAGGAUGCGAGCGUUAUCCGGAUUUAUUGGGUGUAAAGGGAGCGUAGACGGCUGUGCAAGUCUGAAGUGAAAUGCCGGGGCCCAACCCCGGAACUGCUUUGGAAACUGUACAG